rnacentral:tRNA from 1 species
GGCUCUGUACCCAAGUGAUUUAAGGGGGUUGCCUGCAAAGCAAUUAUUCGUAAGUUUGAAUCUUACCAGAGCCU